rnacentral:rRNA from 1 species
CGUAGGGUGCAAGCGUUGUCCGGAAUUACUGGGCGUAAAGAGCUCGUAGGUGGUUUGUCGCGUCGUCUGUGAAAUCCCGGGGCUUAACUUCGGGCGUGCAGGCGAUACGGGCAUAACUUGAGUGCUGUAGGGGAGACUGGAAUUCCUGGUGUAGCGGUGAAAUGCGCAGAUAUCAGGAGGAACACCGAUGGCGAAGGCAGGUCUCUGGGGCAGUAACUGACGCUGAGGAGCGAAAAGCAUGGGGUAGCGAAACAGGAUU